GGGCUGGGCAGGGAACCGGGCGGCCAGUUUUUCUCGGGCUAGGCGAGGCCCUGUGACGUGAAGUCUUGGUCUUCAGACGGGGUACGCCUUCACCGGAGGAAAAAGAAAAGAAAUGAAAAAGAGAAAAAGAAAAAGAAAAAACAGGAAAUUUUUUGAAAAUUUGAAAAGAUGGCGCUGCUAGCCUACUGGGGUGGAUUGUUGCGGUGCCCGUAGGUGCGCAUGCGCAAGAAUGGUGAAAAUGGCGCCACCCAGCUACCCAGUCUGUUCUCCCGGAUCAGCAGUCGCACACUGGUCCUCCGUCUUCAGCUCUCAUCCAUUCCCCACUUUUCCACUCUCUGUGACCAGGCCCCAGGCAGUACUUCUCUCCCAAGUUUUGUCUCAGAUGCGGCUGUUUUCCCCAGCCCCUUACUUCGGAAGGACUGCAGUUUGACCCGUUCCGCCCCCCUGCAGGAGGGUCUCACCAAGCAAUGGCCGAAUGAGCAAUGGCUGAAUGUCAGCUGGAACGCCCAUUGGACCAUGCUGUUGCCGGUGCCCCGAGACUGCGGCCAGGUGCCAGCCCGCCCCCAAAAAAGAUCACGAGACAGUGUAGCAUCAGCGUUUCAGGGAUUAUGGAAAAUCGCAACACACAUCUGGCACCAGGCUUCACCGUCAACGACCUUGCCCCAGCACCAGCGAAUGUGGCUGCCUUCUGGGGUCUGCUGGGACCAGGUGGCUUCAAUAGUCUCUACCAAAUGUCCUUCCAGAAGUGGAACUGCUUUUCCUCUUGUGGCCUGAGAACCUCCCGGACCCCACUCUGUUCCUGGAUAUUCGUCCUUCCCACCAGAGCACCUCCAGCUCCAGACAGUUGCUGAUCUCCUAUAAUACUUGAGUUGUCAAAGUAUGGACUAAAAUAUCUGCCAGGUUCAUCUGGGCUUGUGCCAGAGGAUAAAAAAGAGAGAAUUUCUACUCACUGGUCCUGUUUCCCCUCUGAAGUCACCCAGAUGCAUAAGGAUUCCAAGAUAAAGAAUAUUUGUAGCCACCUAGAAGACUCCUAUGUGCCUCCAUUCAGUGAACACUCACCCGUCAAUGACAGCCCCUAUUCUAGUGAGUUUGCCUGUUUUUGAACUUCAGAGAGACUCAGAGUGCGAGUCGGGAGGGACAGAGAAAGAGAGGAAGACACAGAAUUUGAAACAGACUCCAGGCAAAGCCCAACGCGGGACUCGAACUCAGGAAUGGCGAGAUCAUGACCUGAGCCGAAGUUGGAAUGUUUAACCGACUGAAACAUCCUGGCAUCCCUAAUAUUCUCUAAUAAUUUCUAACAUUGCUCUCAGCCAUUUGUAUUUAUCAGUAUGAGUUUGGAUCAGGUCAGUUUGUGAGUUAGGUCAGGGCUCAGGUUAUAUCUAAGAUUAGAGCUCAAUCUGCCGCUAAGGUCAUGGCUCAUACUUCGGUUGGGAUCAGGGUUCACCCUGUGAUUACAGCUCCAUCUAUGGUGGGCUAUGAACAUAAUCUGUGAUUAGGGUAGAGACCUGUCUGUGACUAGUGUUAAGGCUCCAUCUGUGCUGUAAUCAGGUCUCAGCCUGUGGCAGAGAUCAGAUUUGUUCGUGGUGGGCACAAGGAUUCAAUCAGGGGCUGGGCUCAUAGCAGGAUAGGGUUCUAUUCCGGGAAAGAAGGUCAUGAAGUGUUGGUCAGAAGUUCAAAGAGUCCAUUGAGUUGCUGUCAGAUCAGAGGACUGAGCAGAUGGGGGAACCAGAGAACCAAGUGGGGGGGGGGGGUGUCAAAUAGAAUUGGUGACUGCCAUCACCAUGGCUUACAUUAAAAGGACUAACCAUACCAAGUGUGGGUGAGGAUUUGGAGCACCUGGAGCUUUCUUAUAUUGCUCGUAGGAGUAUACAUUGAAAAACUAUAUUGAACAGCUCUGGCAGUAUAAAUAAAGGUAGGCAUACAUAUGUAUGCCAUCUGGGUUCAGCAUUUCCACUCCUGGAAUUGACAGACAACUGCUACACACAACAUGGAUAAAUCUCAUGAAAUAGUGUUAAGCAAAAGAAGCCAGACACCAACGAAUAUUUUAUGAUUCCAUUUAUAAGAAGUUCAAAAACAGACAAAAUUAAUCUAUGAUGAUAGGAACUAGAUAAGUGUUACAUUUGGGGGAGAUAUUAACUGGAGGGGGGCACAAAGGAGCCUUCCAAAAGUCUAUGUUUUGAACUGGAUGGUGGUUACACCAUACAUAAAAAUUCACUGAACAUUUAACAUUUGUACCUUUUGCUACAUGUAAGUUCUAUCUCAAUGAGAGAAAAGAGAGUAAGGAAACCGUAUGGAAGUGUGGUUGGCUAGGGACACCUGGCUGGCUCAGUUGGUAGAACAUGUGACUCUUGAUCUCAGGGUGGUGAGUUCCAGCCCCACAAUGGGUGUUGAGAUUACUUAAGAAAAAAAAAAUUUUUUUUAAGUGUGGUUGAGGGGAACCUGGCUGGCUCAGCUGACUGAGUGUUGGACUCUUGAUUUUGGCUUGGGUCAUGAUCCCAGGGUCAUGGAGUCGAGCCCCGAGUUGGACUCCAUGCUGGCCAUGGAGCCUGUUUGGAUUCUCUCUCUCUCUCUCUCUCUCUCUCUCCCUCUCUGCCCUUCUCGCGGGUUCACAUGCAUACUCUCUCUCUCUUAAAAAAAAAAAAAGGUGGUUGAAAAAAAAUUUAGCUGAAGACUGGUUGGGGAGUUAAUGCCAUAAUGGCUUGUUGAGCCUGGGGAGUGGGCCUAGAGGGUGUCGGGGGUAGAGGGGUGCAGCCUUUGAAGCAAUCACACUGGGAAUAAUAUAGUGUUAGAAAGCCACACACUUGGAGUCAAAAGUCCUGAGUUUGGAUCUCAGCACUGUGCUUAGUAUCUAAUCCAGUGGGAAACAUGGUAUGUUGUGAUCUGUCAUGAGGUACCCCACAAAUUAUUCAUUGGUAAUUAUAAGUCACUGAAGCUUUUAAUAUUUUCCUAUUAAUUCCUUUCAAUUCGUGAUACAUGCAUUUGGUUACAAACAAAUUAAGCCUUAUAGAACAGUAUACAGUGAAAAGUCUAUUUUACUCCCAUUUCUGACUCCAAACACCAGUUCCUCAGUCUCCCUCUUGAGAGACAACCACUAUCAUUGGCUUCUUAAAUAUCAUUCCAGAGAGUCUAUGCAUAUUUUUUUUAAUGUGUAUUUAUUUUUGAGAGAAAGACAGAGAGUGAGCAGGGGAGGGGCAGAGAGAGAGGGAGACACAGAAUCUGAAGCAGGCUCCAGGGUCUGUGCUGUCAGCACAGAGCCCAAUGCGGGGCUCGAACUCAUAGACUGUGAGAUCAUGACCUGAGCCGAAGUCAGAUGCUCAACCAACUGUGCCACCCAGGCACCCCAGAGUCUAUGCAUAUUCAUGAAUUAUGUCCUUGCAGAAAAUCACAAGGUACCCCUGUAAUAAUGUUGCUUAUAUAUUGAAUGCUUUAUUUUGUUUUCAAAAUGGAAUUAAGUUUUCAUUAUAAAAAUAACACAUGUUUAUUUAAAAUUGUAUA